rnacentral:rRNA from 1 species
GACGAACGCUGGCGGCGUGCUUAACACAUGCAAGUCGAGCGGUAAGGCCCUUUCGGGGGUACGACGAGCGGCGAACGGGUGAGUAACACGUAGGUGACCUGCCCUCCAGCUCUGGGAGUAAGCCUGGGAAACCGGGGUCUAAUAACUGGAUAUGACUCCAUGACGCAUGUUGUGGGGUGGAAAGCCUUGUGCGGCUGAGGAUGGGCCCGCGGCCUAUCAGCUUGUUGGUGGGGUGAUGGCCUACCAAGGCGACGACGGGUAGCCGGCCUGAGAGGGCGA